GGUUUCAUUAGUUUUAUUUUUGUAACCUUUAAAUCAUACCUCACAAAUUAGAUUUCGUCACAACUGGAUUUAGUAGAAGCCUCGAAAACAUGUUCACUAUUUUCUGAAUCACUGACACACAAAGGGGAAGGGAACAAAUGACUUAGAAAAGGUUUCCAUAAAAAACCAGAAACAUCCGUAACCAAAUAGCUAGAUAAUUAAUCAUUAAUUAAUCCUAAUUGGUAACAGAUUUUAUCACAAUUAGCUGGUAUUAAGUUUCUUAAAUCCACAAAUCUUUCCCUAAUUGUUAUAAAAGGUUAAAUGGAUGAACUCAGCAGCACUUGCUGAAAUAGCUAGCUGUUGGAACAUUCCAUAGGAAAAAAAAUGGAAAGUAAUUUUGUAAGAACAUGAUGUCAGCAACCAGCCAAUGUUCUCAGACUUUCCAAUUACCAAAAGCAUAUACAAUUUUAGUCUAGAAAAAUAAGUCAAUUUUAUAAAAUUAAGCUUUUAGUUUGAAAAGCAUCCCCUUUAACAGGCACAGAGAUACUGAAAAAUAGUCCCUAGAAAUCUCACUAAAUAGUUUAUGGAAAGAAAAACAUGCCCUUACAGUUCUCAAAUGCAGUCAGUACUAGAAUUCUUCAACAGCAGGACAUCCGCGUCCUCAGCUGCUGGCCAGGGAUUGGUGAAUAGGUGGCUGAAAGCAGCGAACGUGCUCCACAGGCGUGCUCUCUCCGUCGCCUGACUUCAAGUACUUGUCCAAGAUAGUGAUUAUCUCAUCAUUGAGAAUCUGGAACUUCCGAAUUCUCUCCACCAUCUUCUUCAAAGGCUGUAACAGUUAAAAUCAGGAUGUCUUAGUAAUAAAAGCUGUACAUUUAUCCUUGUUUCAAAAUCUAAGAAGUUCCAUGUUCUCAGGAAAAUUAUAACAAACACCAUCUCUCAAAUGUAACCAUUGGAACAAUGUAUUCUGUGACAUUUCUGUUUGCUUUAUGCUAACUGUAGAUUCAUUUGUACAACUUAACCUACCCAUUCAACAAAUAGGUAUUAAGAAUCUAUGGUGUCCUAUGGUCUCUUCAGAAAGUAGUGCUGGGAAAACUGGACAGCUGUACAUAAAUUAAUGACACCAGAACACACCCUCACACCAUGCACAAAGAUAAACUCAAAAUGGCUUAAAGACAAACAUAAAACAUGACAAUGUAAAACUUGAAACACAGGCAAAACACUCCCUGACAUAAACCAUACAAAUGUUUUCCUAGGUCAGUCUCCUAAGGCAAUAGAAAUAAAAUAAGCAAAUAGAAUCUAAUAAAACUUACAAGCUUUUGCACCAUAAAGGAAAAACCACAAACAAAAUGGAAAGACAACCAGGAGAAAAGAACUGCAAACAAUGCAACGGCAGGGGCUUAAUCUUCAAAACAUACAAAACAACUCAGAACAACAACAAAAUCGAAAAAUGGGCAGGACACUCUCCAAAGAAGACACUGAUUGCCACUGGCAUAUGAAAAAUGUUCAACAUCACUAACUAGAGAAAUGCAAAUCAAAACUACAGUGAGGUACCACCUCAUGGCAGUCAGAAUGGCCAUCAUUAAGAAGUCUACAAAUGAACACUGGAGAGGGUGUGGAGAAAAGGGAACCCUCCUACACUUUUGGUGGAAAUGUAAAUUGGUACAACCAUGAUGGAAAACAGUAUGGGGGUGCCUCAGAAAACUAAAUACAGAACUACCACAUGAUGUGGCAAUCCCACUCCUGGGCAUAUAUCCUGACAAAACUUGCAUUCAAAAAAAAUGAGUUCCUAUUGUGGUGCAGCAGAAACAAAUCUGACUAGGAACCAUGAGCUUGCGGGUUCAAUCCCUGGCCUCACUCAGUGGGUUAAGGAGCCGACAUCACCAUGAGCUGUGGUGUAGGGUCACAGAUGCAGCUCGGAUCUGGCGUUGCUGUGGCUGUAGCAUAGGUCAGCGGCUAUAGCUCCUAUUCGAUCCCUAGCCUGGGAGCCUCCAUAUGCCGCAGGAGUUCCCGUCAUGGCUCAGUGGAAAUGAGUCUGACAAGCAUCCAUGAGGACGCAGGUUCGAUCCCUGGCCUUGCUCGGUGGGUUAAAGAUCGGGCAUUGUCAUGAGCUGUGAUACAGGUCGAAGAUCAGCUUGGAUCUGGCAUGGCUGUGGCUGUGGCACAGGGAAUCAACUACAGCUCUGAUUCGACCCUGGAAAUCUCCAUAUGCCUCCAGUGAGGCCCUAAAAAAAAAAAAAAAAAAAAAAGCCCAAAACACAAUUUACAACAAAGGGAGCCAGAAGAUUUGGCAAGUAUGCCAAUAAACAGCAAGUGCAGAUCUUAUAAUGCUCUAUAAUAGAAAGCAGAUCACCAUACCUUCAAAACAGAAGGAAAAUGGAACCACAGUAGUCAAUUUCCACUCUCCUUUACUUACCAAUUCUACUCAGAUUCAUUUUAGGAAUAAAACGAAAGCUUCAGUUGGUGGCACCUUUUUGUCCUGGGAUGAGAAACAUUCCCAGAGAAACAACUUUUAAUAAAGAGCAAGUAUCCUUUUUUGUGAAACUUCCACAUACCACAUUUUUGAUAAUUUCAUCUUUGCCAUCAUGUUUCUGGACUUUGAGGAGAUGAUAGCAAAAAUCCAGUACAGCAAAGCGCCGCUGCUGCCCCAGAAGCACGAUGAUCAUGCAGCCAGCCCAGUGGAGCCCGUCGCCAAAACACUGUCUGGAAACAAGGAGCAGCAGGGACAGCGGGAGGUCAGACACGCGUGACCAGCCCUCUGCGGGGCAGGGAGGGAAAGCUGAGCAGCCGUGUUCCUGGUCUGAUAAACACCUCUCUUUGGUUCCUCGGCCAAAGUGUUUCCUAACUUCCUUUUAGAACAUGGCCUCUCCAUGAAGAAUGAGUUCAUGACACUGUGGCCAUUGGAUCCAGCAAGAUGCUCAUCUGACUUGUGUAAGUCCCCAAGGGUUCAAAGAACUCCGGAAGCCCAGCCUGGAGGCCCAGCCUGGGCAUCAGGUAAGAGCCCCCCAUUUAAACAGCUUUACAGCAGCUCAGCAAUCUGGGCGACCGUUUCCAGAGGAAGGCGCUUUGCUGCGUUAACCAAACGCCAGCUUCUCUCCCCCCCUCCCCCUCCCCCGGGCACACACUUACUCAACCGUAAACUCAUGUGUCCCCACGGGAAUGCAGUAGACAAACUGCAUGGCGCUCCACAGCCUGUGAAACUCGACGCAGUCAUCCACGUGCAUGACCCCGUUGCUGGGCAGAGGCCCACGCCAGAUGGGGUCAUCCAGAAAGGUCCGGAUCCGAGUCAGGAUGACUUCAAACAUGGACAGGCCACAGCAGAGACGCUCCUUUGUCAGCAGGUCCCCCUCUCUCGCUAUUGCAAUUUGCUGUAGGAAGAAAAGGGCCACGGGUGUGGCAGGAGGCUGCAAUGUGGACACCAUACUCCUCCAGUUUUGCUUUUGACUCACCAGACACGAGUCCAGCUUGGAAACUACUGCUUUUAUUUAUUUGUUUGCUUUUUUUUUUCCCAGGGCCACACCCAUAGCAUAUGAAGUUCCCAGGCUAGGAGUUGAAUCAGACCUGCAGCUGCCAGCACACCACAGCCACAGGAUCUGAGCUGUGUCUGACCUACACCACAGCUCACAGCCAUGCCAGAUCUUUAAUCCACUGAGCGAGGCUAGGGAUCAAACCCCAGUCCUCAUGGCUACUGGUCAGGUUCAUUUCCACUGAGUCACAGUGGGAACUCCAGAAACUACUGAUUUAGAAAUAAGCAUCAACAAAGUAAAUAUGUCAGCUAUUACCUAUAUGUUUUAUCAGACUAAAUAUUAAAUAUAUUCUAGAGUCGAGGAGAACAGUCAAGUACAGCUGUUCUUAACAGGGAGUGAUUUGCCUCCAGAGGACAUCUGGCCAGUGUACGGAGAUGUCUGUGGUUGUCAGAGCUUGGGAUGGGUCUAGCGGCAUCUGGUGGGUAGAGGCCAGGGAUCCUGCUCAACAUCCUACAAUUCAUAGGUCAGUCCCCACAGCAAAGAGCUGUCUCGUCCAAAUGUAGCAAGUGCAAGUUAAGGCCGGGGAACACCUCCCUAACAUCCUGCCUGUUGUUCGAAACCUAGGAGAAAGCCUUCUUUGUAAAGGGACGGCCAAGAAAAACAGCCACGUGCCAGCUGACAUCCUAAGUCCUUUCCACAUGUUAGCUCAUUCUAACAUCCCAGCCACUCUGUGACAAGGUCCUGUUAUGAACCCCACUUGAGACACUGGGGCCUAAGCAGGCCUGUCCCACCUCCAGCCCCAACUGUGCCCAUGGCCUGACCUGGACACUCAGCUCGCAGCAGCAGCAGGGGCCCCGGCAUGAGUUACCUGAGGGGUUCCCAGUCUUUCAAUCAGAGGGACAAGAUGAAGUGGGGCGUACUUUGAUUCUAGUCUUUUCAUUUUGGCAUCAAGUCUCUCUCCCUCUGCAGUGGAAAAAGAUACAUUACACUCUAUUCCUUUGUAUGAAUGAAUAACAACUGCACAAGUUUCACUUUGCCCAGAAAAAAGAACAACAAAUGAAAAAUAUUUAAGUUAACAUGUAGAUUCUCCUUGAAAAUUCCUUCAUGGAACUGGCUCAUUUGCUAUAUUUUAAUUCAAAAAGAGGGGACUGAUUCUCUGUUCAAUAUGCAACCUUUAUUUUUUUUAUUGUUUUUUCUUUUUUUUAUUUGGCCACACCACGGCAUGUGGAGUUCCCAGGUCAGGGAUCAGAUGUGAGUUGCAA
rnacentral:lncRNA from 9 species